AACGAGACCGCCGCCUGCUAAAUAGUUCUACUAAUGGUUUUUCAUUGGUAAGAGCUUCUUAGAGGGACGUUCAUUCUACAAGAUGAAGGAAGAUGGCGGCAAUAACAGGUCUGUGAUGCCCUUAGAUGUCCUGGGCCGCACGCGCGUUACACUGAUGCACUCAACGAGCAUAUAACCUUGGCCGAGAGGCCUGGGUAAUCUUGUUAACAUGCAUCGUGAUAGGGAUAGAUUAUUGCAAUUUUUAAUCUUGAACGAGGAAUUCCUAGUAAUCGCGGUUCAUCAAACCGCAAUGAUUACGUCCCUGCCCUUUGUACACACCGCCCGUCGCACCUACCGAUUGAAUGGUCCGGUGAGGACUCGGGAUUGUGGUUUGGCUCCUUCAUUGGGGCCUGACCGCGAGAACUUGUCCGAACCUUAUCAUUUAGAGGAAGGUGAAGUCGUAACAAGGUAGCCGU
rnacentral:rRNA from 1 species